rnacentral:lncRNA from 1 species
AAAUGACGUUAGCGUUACAACAAUAACAAUAAUAUAACAAUAUAAUAAUAACAAUAAUAAUAACAAUAUAAUAAUAAUAACAAUAAUAAUAUUUGCUCGGUUUGAAGAGAUCGAUCACCGGUAGUAUGUAUGUUACAGGGUGGUUAACUUCGCCAGCGGCCCCCUUUCCCGGGGCAGUCCCUGCUCUCCCCUGCUAGAGGGGCACCCUAAUCCGUCACCCCAUCCGACUUCAGAAUGUAUUCGUUGGGUUCGGCAACUCACCACCAGCAUCCAACCAAAUCUAGCGGAUAACGGCGCAUCAACUUAGUUCCUGGUCAGCUCGCAAGUUGAUAUUAUCACGUCCUACACCGUCCAUAUGAUGGGGGGCCACCUCCCAUUUCAUCACUCCUCAAACACCCGAGGAGCCGGCAGGCAGAUUUGAACCCGGGUCGACUGGGUCGACUGGGAGCAGAAGUCAGGCCUUAACCUCUGCCAGCCGCCUGCCAGUAUGUAUGUUGUUACAGGGUGGUCAACUUCGCCAGCGGCCCCCUUUCCCGGGGCAGUCCCUGCUCUCCCCUGCUAGAGGGGCACCCUAAUCCGUCACCCCAUCCGACUUCAGAAUGUAUUCGUUGGGUUCGGCAACUCACCACCAGCAUCCAACCAAAUCUAGCGGAUCAACGGCGCAUCAACUUAGUUCCUGGUCAGCUCGCAAGUUGAUAUUAUCACGUCCUACACCGUCCAUAAGAUGGGGGGCCACCUCCCAUUUCAUCACUCCUCAAACACCCGAGGAGCCGGCAGGCGGAUUUGAACCCGGGUCGACUGGGUCGACUGGGAGCAGAAGUCAGGCCUUAACCUCUGCCAGCCGCCUGCCAGUAUGUAUGUUGUUACAGGGUGGCGUAGCUUCACCAGCGGCCCCCUUUCCCGGGGCAUUCCCUGCUCUCCCCUGCUAGAGGGG